AUACGGAGGGUGCAAGCGUUACUCGGAAUCACUGGGCGUAAAGCGCGCGCAGGCGGUCUUUUAAGUUGGAUGUGAAAGCCUACGGCUCAACCGUAGAACUGCAUCCAAAACUAUUAGACUAGAGUGUGGGAGAGGAAGAUGGAAUUAGUUGUGUAGGGGUAAAAUCCGUAGAGAUAACUAGGAAUACCAAAAGCGAAGGCAAUCUUCUGGAACACUACUGACGCUGAGGCGCGAAAGUGUGGGGAGCAAACAGGAUUAGAAACCCUAGUAGUCC
rnacentral:rRNA from 1 species